GAUGAACGCUGGCGGCGUGCCUAAUACAUGCAAGUCGAGCGAACGGACGAGAAUCUUGCUUUUCUGAUGUUAGCGGCGGACGGGUGAGUAACACGUGGAUAACCUACCUAUAAGACUGGGAUAACUUCGGGAAACCGGAGCUAAUACCGGAUAAUAUUUUGAACCGCAUGGUUCAAAAGUGAAAGACGGUCUUGCUGUCACUUAUAGAUGGAUCCGCGCUGCAUUAGCUAGUUGGUAAGGUAACGGCUUACCAAGGCAACGAUGCAUAGCCGACCUGAGAGGGUGAUCGGCCACACUGGAACUGAGACACGGUCCCGACUCCUACGGGAGGCAGCAGUAGGGACUCUUCCGCAAUGGGCGAAAGCAUGACGGAGCAACGCCGCGUGAGUGCUGAAGGUCUUCGGAUCGUAAAGCUCUGUUAUUAGGGAAGAACAUAUGUGUAAGUAACUGUGCACAUCUUGACGGUACCUAAUCAGAAAGCCACGGCUAACUACGUG
rnacentral:rRNA from 1 species